rnacentral:tRNA from 1 species
AGGCACUUGUUAUCCGUGGUAAUGAUCAAUUAGAUAUGGAGGAAGUCAUUGCAAACUGUGAUAUUCACACUCGUAA